CUGGGAGGACCAUCUCCUAAGGCUAAAUACUCUCUAGUGACCGAUAGUGAACCAGUACCGUGAGGGAAAGGUGAAAAGCACCCCGGAAGGGGAGUGAAAUAGAACCUGAAACCGUGUGCUUACAAGUAGUCAGAGCCCGUUAAUGGGUGAUGGCGUGCCUUUUGUAGAAUGAACCGGCGAGUUACGAUUUGAUGCAAGGUUAAGCAGUAAAUGUGGAGCCGUAGCGAAAGCGAGUCUGAAUAGGGCGUUUAGUAUUUGGUCGUAGACCCGAAACCAGGUGAUCUACCCUUGGUCAGGUUGAAGUUCAGGUAACACUGAAUGGAGGACCGAACCGACUUACGUUGAAAAGUGAGCGGAUGAACUGAGGGUAGCGGAGAAAUUCCAAUCGAACCUGGAGAUAGCUGGUUCUCUCCGAAAUAGCUUUAGGGCUAGCCUCAAGUGAUGAUUAUUGGAGGUAGAGCACUGUUUGGACGAGGGGCCCCUCUCGGGUUACCGAAUUCAGACAAACUCCGAAUGCCAAUUAAUUUAACUUGGGAGUCAGAACAUGGGUGAUAAGGUCCGUGUUCGAAAGGGAAACAGCCCAGACCACCAGCUAAGGUCCCAAAAUAUAUGUUAAGUGGAAAAGGAUGUGGCGUUGCCCAGACAACUAGGAUGUUGGCUUAGAAGCAGCCAUCAUUUAAAGAGUGCGUAAUAGCUCACUA
rnacentral:rRNA from 1 species